rnacentral:rRNA from 1 species
AACGAACGCUAGCGGCAGGCUUAACACAUGCAAGUCGAACGCCCCGCAAGGGGAGUGGCGCACGGGUGAGUAACGCGUGGGAAUAUGCCCUUCGGUUCGGAAUAACACAGGGAAACUUGUGCUAAUACCGAAUACGAUCUACGGAUGAAAGAUUUAUCGCCGAGGGAGUAGCCGCGUAGGAUUAGCUAGUUGGUGAGGUAAUGGCUCACCAAGGCGACGAUCCUUAGCUGGUCUGAGAGGAUGAUCAGCCACACUGGGACUGAGACACGGCCCAGACUCCUACGGGAGGCAGCAGUGGGGAAUAUUGGACAAUGGGGGAAACCUGAUCCAGCCAUGCCGCGUGAGUGAAGAAGGCCUUCGGGUUGGUUAAAGGAC